CGACGGGCUCAUAUUGAACCUAGUGAUGUAUGAGUUAGUGGCGGACGGGUGAGUAACGCGUGGAGAACCUGCCGUAUACUGGGGGAUAACACUUAGAAAUAGGUGCUAAUACCGCAUAAGCGCACAGCUUCGCAUGAAGCAGUGUGAAAAACUCCGGUGGUAUACGAUGGAUCCGCGUCUGAUUAGCUGGUUGGCGGGGUAACAGCCCACCAAGGCGACGAUCAGUAGCCGGCCUGAGAGGGUGAACGGCCACAUUGGGACUGAGACACGGCCCAAACUCCUACGGGAGGCAGCAGUGGGGAAUAUUGCACAAUGGGGGAAACCCUGAUGCAGCGACGCCGCGUGAGUGAAGAAGUAUUUCGGUAUGUAAAGCUCUAUCAGCAGGGAAGAAAUACUGACCUUACGGUCAGCAGACGGUACCUGACUAAGAAGCCCCGGCUAACUACGUGCCAGCAGCCGCGGUAAUACGUAGGGGGCAAGCGUUAUCCGGAUUUACUGGGUGUAAAGGGAGCGUAGACGGCAGCGCAAGUCUGAAGUGAAAUCCCAUGGCUUAACCAUGGAACUGCUUUGGAAACUGUGCAGCUGGAGUGCAGGAGGGGUAAGCGGAAUUCCUAGUGUAGCGGUGAAAUGCGUAGAUAUUAGGAGGAACACCAGUGGCGAAGGCGGCUUACUGGACUGUAACUGACGUUGAGGCUCGAAAGCGUGGGGAGCAAACAGGAUUAGAUACCCUGGUAGUCCACGCCGUANACGAUGAUUACUAGGUGNUGGGGGAACAAGGUCCUUCGGUGCCGGC
rnacentral:rRNA from 1 species